rnacentral:rRNA from 1 species
GACGAACGCUGGCGGCGUGCUUAACACAUGCAAGUCGAACGGAAAGGCCCUGCUUUUGUGGGGUGCUCGAGUGGCGAACGGGGGAGUAACACGUGAGUAACCUGCCCUUGACUUUGGGAUAACUUCAGGAAACUGGGGCUAAUACCGGAUAGGAGCUCCUGCUGCAUGGUGGGGGUUGGAAAGUUUCGGCGGUUGGGGAUGGACUCGCGGCUUAUCGGCUUGUUGGUGGGGUAGUGGCUUACCAAGGCUUUGACGGGUAGCCGGCCUGCGAGGGGGACCGGCCCCACUGGGACUGAGAGAAGACACAGACCCCAAUGGGAGGCAACGGGGGGGAAGAUUGCACAGUGGGCGGAAGCCUGAUGCAACGACGCCGCGUGCGGGAAAACGGCAUUCUGGUUGUAAACCGACGUCGCCUGUGACGAAGCGUGAGUGACGGUACCGGGUAAAGAAGCCCCGGCUAACUACGUG